UAGUUACUGUUUCUAUUUGUAGGUAAAACUCUGCUGGCACAAACUCUAGCUAAAUGCCUUGAUGUUCCUUUUGCUAUCUGUGACUGUACAACUUUGACUCAGGCUGGAUAUGUAGGUGAAGAUAUUGAAUCUGUGAUUGCCAAACUGCUCCAAGAUGCCAAUUACAAUGUAGAAAAAGCACAACAAGGAAUUGUCUUUCUGGAUGAAGUAGAUAAGAUUGGCAGUGUGCCAGGCAUUCAUCAGUUACGGGAUGUAGGUGGAGAAGGCGUUCAGCAAGGCUUAUUGAAACUACUAGAAGGCACAAUAGUCAAUGUUCCA